rnacentral:rRNA from 1 species
AGUGGGGGAUAACGUAGCGAAAGUUACGCUAAUACCGCAUAUGCCCUGAGGGGGAAAGGAGGGGAUCGUAAGACCUUUCGCUUUCGGAGUGGCCGAUAUCAGAUUAGCUAGUUGGUGGGGUAAAGGCCCACCAAGGCGACGAUCUGUAGCGGGUCUGAGAGGAUGAUCCGCCACACUGGGACUGAGACACGGCCCAGACUCCUACGGGAGGCAGCAGUGGGGAAUUUUGGACAAUGGGGCAACCCUGAUCCAGCCAUGCCGCGUGAGUGAAGAAGGCCUUCGGGUUGUAAAGCUCUUUCGGACGGAAAGAAAUCCUAUUCGCUAAUACCGGGUGGGGAUGACGGUACCGUAAGAAGAAGCACCGGCUAACUACGUGCCAGCAGCCGCGGUAAUACGUAGGGUGCGAGCGUUAAUCGGAAUUACUGGGCGUAAAGCGUGCGCAGGCGGUUUUGUAAGACAGAUGUGAAAUCCCCGGGCUUAACCUGGGAACUGCAUUUGUGACUGCAAGGCUAGAGUGCGGCAGAGGGGGGUAGAAUUCCA